AGUAAGGGCGACUAACCCGGGAAGAGCCCAGCGCAUAACCUCGUGUCCUAACCCGGCACGAGGGGUGUUGCGUUUCGGAGGGUCCGGCACGCCGUGCCAUACCGCCUAAGUUAGAGCAUGAAUGCAGCCCACUGCCCAUGGAGGGUGUCAGGCCCGUGUGGCGGCGCCCGCGAGGGUAAAGAUGGCACGGUCGGAAAGGGCCUCUCCGUAGAGUCGGGUUGCUUGAUAGUGCAGCCCAAAGCAGGUGGUAAACUCCAUCUAAGGCUAAAUAUGACCACGAGACCGAUAGCGAACAAGUACCGUGAGGGAAAGUUGAAAAGAACUUUGAAGAGAGAGUUCAAGAGUACGUGAAACCGUUAAGAGCCAAACGGAUGGAACCUUGAAGGUCGAACCGAGGGAUUCAGGCGGCCGACUUCGGCUGGGUGCGGGUCUCUCUGUCUGUCCGCCGAUUCAGUCGGAAGCAGCGACCCACGAAUGCUUGGGCGUGCCUGCACCCACGCUGGCGUCGGCCGGCGAUCUUCCCUCGUUGUAGGGCGCCGCGACCCGUUGCUGGGGACGUCGAAGGCCCGGACGGACUGGUAGCCCUGAGGCUUCCUCCUCUUUUUCUCCUUCUUCCGCCUGCCUACCGGCGGCGGCGGGGGGGAAUACACGGGAGGAGGAGGAGGAUUGGCGAAACCGCCGGUGAUCCUGGCGGUCCUGCGACGGUCGCAGAGACGAGCCAGCCCGCGCAAGCGGGCUGUCUCUCGCGGCGUGCAAAGAGAUCGGCGAACCAUCCGACCCGUCCUGAAACACGGACCAAGGAGUCUAACAUGUGUGCGAGUCAGUGGGCGCACUAAACCCAAAGGCGUAAUGAAAGUGACAGGCCCGGCGUGCGCACCUUUCAGUGGCGCGUGCGCCGGAGCCGGGGCCGAUCCCCUCGCCGGCUGCUGACUCUGCCUCCACCUAUCUCCCGCCCCCGGGCAGGUAAGCAUUGGUCGAGUUAUUUUCCCUCUGCCCCUGUCGACAAGGCGUGGCAUAUGGGGGUGGUGGCUGAGGGAAUGCGAUGGCGUGAAAUAUCCAGCCUGCCUGUGCAGGAGGGGGGGGCGCAGGCCCGGGACUUGCCGAGAUGCCGCCGCCGCCGCCGUCGUCGUCGUGAGGCGUGCGUGCGAGCGUGCGUGCGGCGGCAGCAAGUACCCCCAGCAGACAUGUUGGGACCCGAAAGAUGGUGAACUAUGCCUGGCCAGGAUGAAGCCAGAGGAAACUCUGGUGGAGGUCCGUAGCGAUUCUGACGUGCAAAUCGAUCGUCUGAGCUGGGCAUAGGGGCGAAAGACUAAUCGAAUCAUCUAGUAGCUGGUUCCCUCUGAAGUUUCCCUCAGGAUAGCUGGAACUCGCAGGAUGAAUUUCAUCCGGUAAAGCGAAUGAUUAGAGGUCUUGGGGACGAAACGUCCUCAACCUAUUCUCAAACUUUAAAUGGGUGAGAUGCCGAGCUUGCUCGAACACUUUAAUGAAGCUCCGGCAGCUAAUCUGAGUAUCUAGUGGGCCAUUUUUGGUAAGCAGAACUGGCGCUGUGGGAUGAACCAAACGUCGAGUUAAGGGGCCUAAACGAAUGCUCAUUCGGAUCCCAUCGAAAGGCGUUGGUUGCUAUAGACAGCAGGACGGUGGCCAUGGAAGUCGGAAUCCGCUAAGGAGUGUGUAACAACUCACCUGCCGAAGCAACUAGCCCUUAAAAUGGCAUGGCGCUCAAGCAUUCUCCCGAUACUCGACCGCCGGGGCACUAGUGGCCACGCUCUCUCUCAGAGGCGAGGUCUCGAAGCCCCGGUGAGUAAGAGGGUCGCGGUGGUGAGCGUUGAAGGGUUUCGGCGUGGGCCGGCCUGGAGCCGCCACUGGUGCAGAUCUUGGUGGUAGUAGCAAAUACUCGAGAGAGGAGCCCUUGAAGGCCGAAGUGGAGCAGGGUUCCAUGUGAACAUCAGUUGGACAUGGGUUAGUCGCUCCUAAGCCCAAGGCUAAGGCCUGAUCCCACGCCAGUGGCAAAGACACAAAGGCUGGCAGCACGCCGGCGGCUGGCUGGCUGGCUGGCUGGCUGCCUGCUGCCGCAGCAGCGGUAGCAGCAGCAGCAGCAGCAGCAGCAGUCGUCGUCGUCGGCGGCGAAAGGCAAAAAAAUACAAGCAAGCAAAACGCUUUGCUACAAGCAAAGGCCAGUUGCUCCGGGAUCAGUGGCGAAAGGGAAUACGGUACUUAUUCCGUAACCAGGACUCGGAUACCAGGCAGGGAGGGCUUUGAAUCAGCCGCCCUGCCGCUAUGGAGGAUCCCGGAAACGGGAACCUGCUCGCGCCCACCGGCGGUGGUCCGGGAAAGAGUUUUCUUUUCUGUUUAAGGCGCCGUGACCCUCAAAGCCAUCCGCUGUGAGAGAGGGUGUUGGUAAGACGGUGUGCCGUAGAGCGCCGCGGUUCUUGCGGCGUCCCGCGCGCCACCGCCGGUCCGUGAAAACGCGAGGCAGGU
rnacentral:rRNA from 1 species